rnacentral:rRNA from 1 species
AACGAACGCUGGCGGCAUGCCUAACACAUGCAAGUCGAACGAGAACUUCGGGUCUAGUGGCGCACGGGUGCGUAACGCGUGGGAACCUGCCCUUAGGUUCGGAAUAACUCCCCGACAGGGGUGCUAAUACCGGAUAAUGUCUUCGGACCAAAGAUUUAUCGCCUUUGGAUGGGCCCGAGUUGGAUUCGCUAGUUGGUAGGGUAAAAGCCUACCAAGGCGACGAUCCAUAACUGGUCUGAGAGGAUGAUCAACCACACUGGGAGUGAGAAACGGCCCAGAAUCCUACGGGAGGGAGGAGUGGGGGAUAGUGGACAAUGGGGGAAAGGAUGAAGCAGCAAGGCCGGGUGAGUGAUGAAGGCCUUAGGGUUGUAAAGCGCUUUUAACCGGGAUGAUAAUGACAGUACCGGGAGAAUAAGCUCCGGCUAACUCCGUG